UACGUAGGGAGCGAGCGUUGUCCGGAUUUACUGGGUGUAAAGGGUGCGCAGGCGGCUCUGCAAGUCAGGCGUGAAAGCUAGGGGCUCAACCCCUAAACUGCGCUUGAAACUGUGGAGCUUGAGUGAAGUAGAGGCAGGCGGAAUUCCCGGUGUAGCGGUGAAAUGCGUAGAGAUCGGGAGGAACACCAGUGGCGAAGGCGGCCUGCUGGGCUUUAACUGACGCUCAGGCACGAAAGCAUGGGUAGCAAACAGG
rnacentral:rRNA from 1 species